rnacentral:lncRNA from 1 species
UAAUACCAGUUGUUUCUUCAUCAAUUUUAUAUGAAUGAUCUUCAGUUCUAUCUGUUUAUCCUCUUUAUCCAAGCAAGAUGAAUGUCUAUCUAAAGUUAUAAACCGAUUUAAGUCUGUUGCUGUUUUUAAUGUGUUAAUAUUUCCACCCAGUUGCCUACUACUUGCCGUGGAGUGAAUGUUUAUCAAAACAUUGAAAUGCAGCAGGAAGCAUUCUUGCAUGUUCUACCAAUAAAUGUUAAAAAUGGAACCAAAGCAUUCUUGCAUCUGUUGGUUAAGCCUUCCCACCAACAUCAUCAGCUCUGGCGGAUUCUUUUUGUCAUUGAGACAAUUCUUCUCACCUUCAUUCUAGAAGGAUGUUUAUUAAUUAAUGUUCAUUAAUUAAUGUUUUAGUUAAUUUUACUGACCUCUAUAUUAGGGCUUGGACCGAAUGAGAGCUUGCUGUUAAAGCAGUGCUGAGAUUUCUGGACGAUGUCCAGUUGUUGCACAUUUUUUGAGACUUUGUGAUUCUUUACAAUUUUUUUUUUGUUUACAGAGAGUUUUGAGUAAUUAAUUCUAUUUUAAGGUUUGGUGUUUGGCUGUUAAAGAUAUUCAACAGUUUUAAAUGUUGCACGUCAAAUUGUUUUUUGGACCAAUGAUUGAAUGGUCUGUCAACAGCUACAAACUAAAAUGGAAUUUACCAAGUCUUGCAAUUUUCUGAGCAAAAAUAAAAAGUUAAAAAUUCAAACAUUCAUAUUCUUUUUGUGUGUUUAUUGUUUUAAUGCCAAGGAGUCAUUCUCUGAGUGGUGAGGAUUUGUUAUCUUUGGGUAGCUUUCAUCUUUUACUUGUUUCAGCAAUUUGACUGUGGCCAUGCUGGGGCAUCACCUUGAACGUUUUAGUUG